GAUCAUGGCUCAGGACGAACGCUGGCGGCGUGCCUAACACAUGCAAGUCGAACGGAAAAUUGAGCUUCGGUUCAAUUUUUAGUGGCGAACGGGUGAGUAACGCGUAGGCAACCUGCCCUUUAGACGGGGACAACAUUCCAAAAGGGAUGCUAAUACCAGAUGUGACGCUCUCAUCGCAUGACGGGAGCGUGAAAGAUGGCCUCUACACGUAAGCUAUCGCUAAAGGAUGGGCCUGCGU
rnacentral:rRNA from 1 species